UCAGCCAUGCCGCGUGUGUGAAGAAGGCCUUUUGGUUGUAAAGCACUUUAAGCGAGGAGGAGGCUACCUAGAUUAAUACUCUGGGAUAGUGGACGUUACUCGCAAAAUAAGCACCGGCUAACUCUGUGCCAGCAGCCGCGGUAAUACAGAGGGUGCGAGCGUUAAUCGGAUUUACUGGGCGUAAAGCGUGCGUAGGCGGCUGAUUAAGUCGGAUGUGAAAUCCCUGAGCUUAACUUAGGAAUUGCAUUCGAUACUGGUCAGCUAGAGUAUGGGAGAGGAUGGUAGAAUUCCAGGUGUAGCGGUGAAAUGCGUAGAGAUCUGGAGGAAUACCGAUGGCGAAGGCAGCCAUCUGGCCUAAUACUGACGCUGAGGUACGAAAGCAUGGGGAGCAAACAGGAUUAGAUACCCUGGUAGUCCAUGCCGUAAACGAUGUCUACUAGCCGUUGGGGUCUUUGAGGCUUUAGUGGCGCAGCUAACGCGAUAAGUAGACCGCCUGGGGAGUACGGUCGCAAGACUAAAACUCAAAUGA
rnacentral:rRNA from 1 species